rnacentral:lncRNA from 1 species
GCAGUGGUAGCCGAAGAAGCUCUCUGGGCAGACGCACAGCUGGACGGGCAGCCGAGGCAGGACCUUGGUGGCCUCAUCCUCUGCUGUCUCCCAGCGCCUGCCACUCAGCAGAGGCCGUCUGCAACCCACAACUAUUGCUGGGAUUAAAGGAGAAAAUCAUAUUAUCAUCUGAAGAGGUAUAGAGAAGGCAUGGAAUAAAAGUCAACGUCCAUUUGUGAUUAAAAACGCUGGGAAUACAAGGAGAAGGCUGCCGGCAAUCUGAAGAAGGCUUCAGACACACAAGUGCACACAUCGUAUUCAAUGCUGAACCCGGAACACUUGCUUUUUGAGACUAGGAACAAGUCAAGGGUUCCACCAACACCACCGCUAUGAGACGAUUCACGGGAGGCCUUGGCCAGCACAGGCACCAACACCACCGCUAUGAGACGAUUCAUUGGAGGCCUCGGCCAGCACAGGCACCAACACCACCGCUAUGAGACGAUUCAUGGGAGGCCUCGGCCAGCACAGGCACCAACACCACCGCUAUGAGACGAUUCACGGGAGGCCUCAGCCAGCGCAGGAAGACACAAAAAUGUGUCACAAAGUAAAAUGAGUAGAAAGGAGCCCCACUGCUGCUGUGACUGAAUGUGGAUGUAGAAACCCCAUGGACUCUGCACAUAGAUGAUUUAUCAAGAUUCAUAUGGGAUUUUGUCAGGCAGUUGGAUAUAAAGUUAGAAAAUGUAAAAAAUCAAUUAUAGUUCUAUGUGCCAGCAAUAACCAGAAAAUGAGAUUAAAGACACUAUUUACGAUAGUGUGAAAAAAACCAAGUACCUAAGAGUAACUCUAACAAAAGAUGUGCAAAACUUCUCUGCACUCGAUUCUGAAACCUUACUGAAAAUGUUAAAGUCAACUAAGUAAAUCCAGAAAUAUGCCAGGUUCCUAGAUUGCACGACUCAAUAUGGUAAAGGUAUCAGUUUUCCUCACAUUGAUCUGUAUAGUCAAUGCAAUCCCAAUAAAUAUCACAACAGGUGUGUGUAUACGUGUGUGUAACUUGAUAAGCCAAUUCUACAUUUUAUGUGAAAAUGCAAAGUCCAAAAUAACCAAGACUGUCUUGUGAAAAGCAAGGUGGAAGGGCUUGUUCUAGGAGACACCAGCCUUUCUCGUCAGGCCACAGUUAGCCCAACGCUCCUGGCUCAGGGACAGAGAAGCAGGAGGGAGAGCCCGGGAACAGCCACAACGGCGCUGGGGGUGUGUGGGGAGAGGCGGCUUUUCAACAAGGGUGCUGGCUCUGCUUUCAUUUCCUCCAAAAUGGAACCUGCGUGACUCUACCUCGGGCCCCAAGAGAAGAUCACCUCCAGGUGUAUUAGAGACCUGCGUGUGAAGGACAAAAUGAAACAGCUGCAAGACUGUUGGAAAGCAAUAUGGAGAAUUUACUACAGUAAAAUUAACACCUUCUAUCCACCCAAGGAUGCCAUUAAAGAGGAUGAAACGAGUGCAGAAUGAGAAAAGAUAUUUGCAGCACCUAUGACCUGGUGUUACCAAGAACCCCCACGAAUCGGCGAGAAAGAAGAUAACUCUGUAGAAAAGAGGGAAAACACUUGAACAGUCACUCCACAAAAGAUGAAAUCCAAUGGUAAGUGAACAUAUGAGACUGGCUCAGCCUCAUUCAUAGAAAAGAAAAGGAGACCAUGGUGACCUCCCACCAUGUAGCUGCUCCAUUUGCAGAAGCGUCGGCCGGGGUGUGGCCCUGGGCAGCAUCCACACACAGCACAUCCCACGGCUCAGAAAUCCCACUCCUGGGUGUGGACUUGACACAAAUGUGGACUUGUGUGCACUGGGACAUGCCUUCAAGAGUUUUCACAAACAGCAUUGUUAAGAGUAGUCUAGGCCUGGCAUGGUGGCUCACACCUUUGAGAGGCUGAGGUGGGCAGAUCACCUGAGGCCAGGAGUUCGAGACCAGCCUGGCCAACAUGGUGAAACCCUGUCUCUCCUAAAAAUACAAAACUUAGCCAGGCAUGGUGGCAUGCAGUUGUAAUCCUAGCUACUUGGGAGGCUGAGGCACAAGAAUCACUUGAACCUGGGAGGCAGAGGUUGCAGUGAACUGAGAUCGCACCACUGCGCUCCAGCCUGGACAAGACAGCGAGACUCCAUCUUAAAAAAAAAAAAGAAAAGAAAAAAGAGUAGUCUAAAGCUAGGAACAGCCCCACCUAAAAAAUUAAAAAUAGAACUGACAUAUGGCCUAGCAAUCCCACUUCUGAGUAUAUACCCAAUGAAAUGAAACCAGUAUCUCAUAGAAUAGCUGCACUCCCAUAAGCAAGAUAUAGACUCAACCUAAGUGUUUGCUGACGGAUGAAUGGAUAAACAAAAUGUGGUGUAUAUAUACAGACAUAUGUACACACAAGGGAAUAUUAUUCAGCCAUGACAAAGAGAGGGAUCCUGCCAUUUGCAACAACAUGGAUGAAACUGAAGGACAUUAUGCUCAGUGAAAUAAGCCAGGCGCAGAAAGACACUUAUAUGUGGAAUCUAAAAUAGCUGAACUCAGCCAGGUGUGGUGGUUCACGCCUAUAACCCCCAGCACUUUGGGAGGCUGAGGCAGGAGGAUCUCUUGAGGCCAGGAGUUCAAGACCAGCCUGGACAACAUAGCAAGACCCUGUCUCUACAAAAAAAGAAAAAUAAAAAAAUAUAGCUGGA